UCAUCUCAUCAAUGUUUUUAGCAAAAUAAAACUAUUCUUAUAAAACCCCUUUGUCCUUUAAUUUAAAUAAAACCCUAACCCCCUCUCAUAUUCUUUACUUUACAACUAAGUUGUGCAACAAAUAAUUUUAGAAUAAAAUGUUGUUUUGUUUUGGUUACAAAUUAAAGUAUUAGUUGAAAAACUAAUUUUGAAUCUUGCUCUCACCUUUGCCCCAAAUUCAAACAGUUUUAAAAUAAAAACAUAAGAGAAAAACUAAAACCUACCCUAACCAGGCCCAACUCUUCCCCUUACCCUCUCUUUUUAUUUUUUUCCUCCUGGCCCGAGCGGCCCAUCCUUCCUUCUCCCCUUCUGGCCCAGCCCACUAGCUCUUCUUUUCCGUUCCGUACCGAUUCGGCGGAGACCAAGUCCCCUUCUCGUUUCUUCCUCACGAGAGGUGCGUGACCCUCCUCCCCCCGUCGCUGUCCACCACCGAGGUCCCCCUCCACCAGCCUGGCUUCACCUGCCCCUUCUUAUCGUCUCGCGCUGAGACCCCUUCCUCCCCACGCCUCCUCCCUCCACUUCUUUCCCCUUCUCCACGAAACCACAACACGGAGAAAAAUCCCCAUCGCCACCGUGAGCAGCUUCACCAUGGCGCCGCCGCUACGGACUGCCCCGCGCCUCGUCGACGCCACCAAAAGGACCGCCUCGACGCCGCGCACCUCCUCCUGCAAGCAAUCGGGACGGGAGGCCCUCGGUCGAGCGGGCGCUCGCCGUUCCCCUCCCUCGGCCGCCGCGCUUCUUCCUCGAUUCCGGCCAUCGCGGCCCCUCCCCGGCAACCUCGACCUCACCAACGUGACCCUGUUCCUCACCGCCGCCGCCUUUCGACGACCUCUUCCUGGUGGCGCCGCCUCCCCUGGGUCUGCGCCGACGAGGCGAGCGCGACGCCCUCACGCGCGCAUCCUGGGGGCCUCCACAUCGCCCGCGCGCGUCACGGCCGCCGCGGUGACCACGUCCUCUGGAACGCGCACGGCAUCGUUCCAGUCGAGCACCUUCCGCGCGCGCCUCGCAUGGUUCGCCACGUCGGCACGCCUGCGUGGCACCUGGCCCACCCGUCAGCGUCUGGGUAGAAAACCCGCUCGCAUUUGCUUCUUCCCGGAUAGGAUCACGAAGUGGUGAUGUGAGAUACGACGAGUUCUCCGGAUGUCCCUCGACAAGCUUUAACAGGCAAGCAUUUCCCCUAUACUUCUGCCUCUGCAGAAGUCGCUCACCUAUUUUAUUUUGCCUUCUCCCUCAUGCUAUCCUUAAGUUGCGUUCUUGUCACGUGUCCCUUCCACUUGUUACCUCAAGCAGCCUAUAUUGACUCCACCAACCACCUACAGCUAUUGUUUGGUUAUCGGGUCUGCCUUGCGAGUCGUAGUGCAUGCUAGUGC